CCCACACCCCACAGACGGUCACAGAGCUCCCACACCCCACAGACGGUCACAGAGCUCCCACACCCCACAGACGGUCACAGAGCUCCCACACCGCACAGACGGUCACAGAGCUCCCACACCCCACAGAUGGUUGAUUCUGCUGGCUCUGUCUGACCCAAUUGCUGAAAAAAACUUGAGACAUUUAAGCUUGAGCCAAAUAUAUCAUUGGUUCAUUCUGUUGUGCCAAUUAAAUGGGCUAAAGACCAUGUAAAAACACAGUCAGUUUACAAGAGUAAGGAUAAUUGUCAGCUGAUAGCGACAUUUUAUCAAAAACUCCAUAGAAGCUUUACAAUCUAAACUAUAGGUAACUAGUAUGCUGGAAACAUUUUUAUAUAGCCUGAUAAUCUUAUAUACAGUUGCCUACUUUCAAAGGGUCACAAGACAUACAAUAAAACAUUUUAUUAAAUAUUUGACAAAAAUAGAAUACAUAUCAACAAUAAUAUAUACAAGCAAAAUCUUCAUCUUCCUUGGUACUCUACUUGGUAAAGAAAUAACAUGCCAUUUAAAAUGAGAGUUUCACUCUUUGGCAAGAAAGUAAUAAAAUCAAACAGACAGAAGUAACUAUUUUGCCAACAGUUCAGUUUAAAAAUUGUCAAAAUUGAGAUGGACAAAUGCCUAGAAACACACAAUUUGCAAAAACUGACCCAUGAAGAAACAGAAAACCUGAGAAGACCUGUAACAUGUAAGGAGAUUGAAUCAUUAAUCAAAAGCCUCCCAACAACAACAAAAAAUCCAGAUGGCUUCACUGUGAAUUCUACCAAACAUUUAAAAAAUUAACACCAAUCCUUCUCAAACUCUCCCAAAAAUGUGAUGAGGAGGGAAUGCUUCCUAACUCAUUCUAUGAGGCCAGCCUAACCCUGACACCAAAAAAAAAAGACAAUUACAGGAAAAGACAAUUACAGACCAAUAUCCUUAUGAGUACUGAUGCAAAUUCCUGAAUAAAAUACUAGCAAUUUGAAUUCAGCAGCAUAUUAAAAGAAUUAUACAGAAUGGUCAAGUGGGAUUUAUUCCCAGUAUGCAAGAAUGGCUCACCAUACAAAAAUCAAUCAAUGUAAUAUACUACAUUAACAGAAGAAAGGGGAAAAAGCACACAUGAUCAUCUCAAUUGAUGUAGAAAAAGGAUCUGACAAAAUUCAGCACUCCUUUAUGAUAAAACUGCUCAAUAAACUAGGAAUAGAAGGGAGCUCCCUCAACAUGAUAAAGUCAUUUAUGAAAAACCCACAGCUAACAUCAUACUCAAUGGUGAAAGACUGAAAGCUUUUCCUCUAAGAUGAGGAACAAGACAAGGAUGCCUGUUUUCAUCAUUUUAUUUAACAUAGUACUGGAAGUUAUUGCCACAGCAAUUUGACAAGAAAAAUAAAUAAAAGGGACUCAAACUGGAAAGGAAGAAGUAAAAUUAUUUCUGUUUGUAGAUGGCACAAUCCUAUAUGUGGAAAACCCUAAAGAUUCCAUUAAAAAACUAUUGGCGCUAAUCACAAAUCAGCAAAGUCGCAUGAUACAAAAUCAACAGUUGCAUUUCUAGACACUAGCAAUGAACAAACAUUAAAGGAAAUUGUAAAAACAAUUCCAUUUAUAAUACCAUCAAAAAGAAGGAAAUACUUAGGAAUAAACUUAACCAAAGAGGUGAAAGACUUGUACACUGAAAACUGCAAGGCAAUGCUGAAAGAAAUUAAAGAAGAUGCAAAUAAAUGGAAAGACAUCCCAUGUUCAUGGAUUGGAAAACUUAAUAACAUUGUUAUGAUGUCAAUACUAUCCAAAGUGAUCUAUAGAUUCAAUGCAAUCUCUAUCAAAAUCCUAAUCCUAAAUUCAAAAUCCUAAUGAAAUUUGGCAGAAAUAGAAAAACCUGACCUAAAAUUAAUAUGGAAUUUCAAGGGACCCUGAGUUGCAAAAAAAAAAAAAAAAAAAUCUUUAAGAAGAAGAACAAGCUUGGAAGACUCACACUUCUUGAUUUCAAAACUUACUACAAAGUUAUAGUAAUCAAAACAGUGCAGUACUGGCAUAAGGACAGACACAUAGAACAACGGAAUAAAAUAGAGAGCUCUGGAAAAAGCUCUCACACACACAGGAGGAAAGAGCCAUCUUCUCCACAAAUGGUGCUGGGAAAACUGGAUAUCCACAUGCAAAAAGAACGAAAUUGGACACUUACUUUAUACACUAUACAAAAAUUUACUUAAAAGGGAUCAAAGACCUAAACCUAAAAGCCCAAACUAUAAAAUUCUUAGAAGAAAUCUUAGGGCAAAGCUUCAUGGCAAUGGAUUUGGCACUGAUUUCUUGGAUUUGACACCAGAAGCACAAGCAACAAAAGAAAAAAUAGAUAAAAUGGACUUCAUUAAAAUUAACUUUUGUUCACUGAAGGACACUAUCAAAAGAGUAAAGAGAUGUGAAAUGGUGCACACACGGUAGAAAACAGUUUGGCAGAUCCUCAAAAAGCUAAACAUAGAAUUAUACUAUGUCCCAACAAUUUCACUCCUAGGUAUAUAGCCCAAAGAACUGAAUAGCAGGGGCUCGAACAGAUACUUUUAUGCCAAUGAUCAUGGCGGCAUUAUUCACAAUAACCAAAACAUGGAAACAACCCAUGUGUCCCCCAUAAAUGGAUAAACAAAAUACAUGCAAUGGAAUAUUAUUCAGCCAUAAAAUAGAAUGAAAUUCUGAUACAUGCUGUAACAUGGAUAAACCUUGAAAACAAUACGCCAAGUGAAAUAAGCCAGACACAGAAGGACAAAUAUUUUAUAAUUCCAUUUAUAUGAGAAACCUAAAUGAGGCAAAUUCAUAGAGACACAAAGUAGACUAGAGGUUACCAGGGGCAGGGGAAGGGAGGAAUGAGGAGUUAUUGUUUAAUGGGUACAGAGUUUCUAUUUGAGAAGAUGAAAAAGUUCAAGAAAGAGAUAGUGUGGAUGGUUACACAACAUUGUAAAUGUAUUUAAUGCCACUGAAUUGUACACUUAAAAAUUAGUUAUGUCAUGUGUAUUUUAUCACAAUAAAAAUUGGCCUUAACUGUUCAUUUGAAAUCACUCAUUUCCAGGAUUAAAAAUAACUGAUAUCAUUCAACAUAUUGAUCUGAAGGCCCCAUUUAAGUCUUUUUUAAUACCCAUCAUCUGCAGAAAGCACUUAAAAUGGUGAAAUCUCUUUUAUGAGUGACACAAUUUGACGAUCAAAUGAAAAAUUCAUUCUAAAUAUUUGCAGUCCAAAACCUUUCCCCUCCUUUGAUUGUAUCACAGCUUCUUGAUAAUACCAAGAAUACCAACAAAUGAAAACACUUCAAUAGGUUUUAUAUACCAUGUCUGUUGUCACUAAAUGCACAAAACGCCAUCACCGGGAGGCCAGACUGUGGGACUAGAAGCAACAGAAGCCUCUCUCUCCAUGGAAUUUCACUUAAAAUAAACGCCUCAGAUUUUUAAAGAGCCACUACCAGCCCAGAACAACACCAUGAAGUUCCAACAAACAGGAUGUAAAAUAGUUACACAUGAUUUCAACGUGAAACACAGAUUAAACAGUUGCCCCAUCAAAAGCAAGCAGCUGCUCUGAAGCUCCCGCCCACCGUGCUGAGAAGGGAGGCUGGCCCAAUAUGACCAGGGCUCUCGAUUUUCAGGAGAAGUUAGAAUUCUGGAUUUCCUCCUCUCUCUGAGUCCUUAGUCUCCUGAUUUUUCUUCACAGCACUUGUUAGCUGACAUUCCGUCAUCUGUGCAUGUGCUUCCUUGUUCACAUCUGUCUCUUGGAAGCUAAGCUCCACAAAGGCAGGUUUGUCUUUCUUGUUCACCCCUGUCUCUCCAGCACCUGAGCAGAGCCUGGCUCAUGGGAGACCUUAAUCAACAUGUGCUGAACCAAAAGAGUACAAGAGUUGGGCUGGAUGACGGAUUCUUGUGCUGAUGGGAAUGCUCUGUAUCUUGACUGUAUCAUUGUUAAUAUCCUGGUUGUGAUAUUGGACUACAGUUUUCAAGAUGUUAUCAUUGGGGAAGACUGGGUAAAGGAUACACAGAAUCUUUCUGUAUUAUCUUAUACAACUGCAUGUGAAUAUAACGAUUUCAGAAUAAAAGUUUAAUUUUAAAAAGCUUACAAACAAAAACUUAAGCAAACAAACAAACAAAUGCCUAAAAGGAAUUCUACAAAAUACCUGACCAGUAUUCUUUAUUUCCCCAAUUUUAUUGAGAAAGAAUUGACAUACAUCUCUGUGUAAGUUUAAGGUGUACAGCAUGAUGGUUUGAUUUACAUAUAUUGAGAAAGGAUUACCAUAAUAGGUUUAGUUAACACCCAUCAUCUCAUAUAGACACAAUAAAAAGAAAGGAAAAAUUUUUUCUCCUUGUGACGAGAACUCUUAGGACCUAUUCUCUCAACAAUUUUCCUAUAUAUCAUUCAGUAGUGUUAAUUAUAGUCAUCAUGCUGUGCAUUACACCCCUAUUGCUUAUUAAUCUUAAAACUGGGAGUUUGGGGGCUGGCCCUGUGGCCUAGUAGUUAGGCUCAGCAAGCUCUGCUUCAGUGGCCUGGGUUCGAUUCCUGGGCAUGGACCUACACCACUCACCAGUGGCCAUGUUGUGGUGGUGACCCACAUACAAAAUAGAGGAAGACUGGCACAGAUGUUAGCUUGGGGUGAAUCUUCCUCAAGUGAAAGGAGGAGGAUUGGCAACAGAUAUUAGCUCAGGGCCAAUCUUCCUGAAGAAAAAAAACAAAAACAAAAAACUGGAAGUCUGUAACUUUUAACCACCUUCCUCCAAUUCCCCCUCCCCCAACCCCAGGGACCACAGAUCUGAUCUCUUUUUCCUGUGAGUUUAGUGGGAAUCUUUUUGGUUUUCGUUUUUAUUAGACUCCACAUAUAAGAGAGAUCAUACACUGUUUAUCUUUCUCUGUCUGACUUAUCUCACCUAGCAAAAUGCCUUCAAGUUCCAUCAAUGUCGUUGCAUGCAACCUGACCAGUAUUCUUUGAAAUUGUCAGGAUAAUAAAAAAUAAGGAAUGUCUAAGAAACUGUCACAGACUGGAGGAGACCAAGGAGACAUGAUAACUAAAAGCCAUGUGGGAUCCCAGAACGGAAAAAGGACAUGAGUGGAAAAACUGAGGAAAUUUGAAUAACGUCUAUAAUUUAGUCAAAAGUAUUGUGCUCAAAGUUAAUUUCUUAGUUGUGACAAAUGUACUGUGGUUAUGGAAGCUGGUAACAUAAGGGGAAGCAAGGUGAAGGAUAUAUAGUAACUCUCUGUAGAAUCUUUGCAACUUUUUAUUAAAUCUAAAACUAUUCCAAAACAAGUUUAUCUUUUAAAGAAAACAUAGCAUUAAAAGAGAAACUUCCGAUAAUGCAGCAGCUGGUUAACUAGAACAGCACCUGCUUUACUUUUCAGAUAAAAAUCAUGUAAACAUAAGCAAUAAAAAAGUUGGAGUGUCCACUCUUACAAACAAUUAUGCUGUGAUUUGAAUACAAAAUCCCUCACCCAAAGUCCUUGGGGCCAGAUUUGUCUUGGAAUUUAUAAUCUAUUUGAUUUCAAAGAAGAAACAUGACCGUGUGCUGUACAUUAAACCAAGUGAGGUCCAGGGGCAGCAUUUCGUCAUCAAUCACAUGAACGUUUCCUGAGUAAGACACAUGAACAGUCACACCACAUGGCAUAAAUGAAGACUUCAAACAGCCACCCAUUCUUUCAGGUAAGAUUUUGUUGCCAAAUAACUUUGCCAAAAACUUUCAGUUUUCAGAAUUAUUUGGAUUUCAAAAUAGUGAAUAGGGGAUUGUGGACUGGAUUAAUAGCCUUUCAAAUGAAUAAAGCUUUUGGUUUUUAAUGUUAAACUUCCAAAUUUCUAAAAAUUACCGUCACCUCAUUUUUUUUUCUGUCUCUCUCUCUCUAUUUUGUUUUUUGGGUUUUUUUUUUUUUUUUUAACAUUUUGGAGUAGCACUCAAGACCCAGAGACAACAAGGGGGCUUCUAGAAUGUUGAUAACAUUGUAUUUCUUAAUCUAGGGCUGAUUAGAAGGGUGUAAAUUCAAUGAGCUGUGCACAUACGAUUUGUCCACUCUUCUGUAUGUACGUUAAAUGUUGACAGAACGUUUUCUUCAAAAGCAGCAAUCACAGAAUGAAAUUUAAAGUCACAAAAUGUUAACAUUGCAAGAAAUCCACUCUCAUUUAAGAUGUAGUCCGUUCCCUGUGUUUCACAGCUCCAGAGUGGUGAAGUGAUCUUCCCAAGGUCACACAGCAAUGCAGUGGGAGAACUAAGUGUCCCAGCUCGACUCCUAGUGCAGAGUUCUUUCUGUUAUGCAAAAACACGUGAUUUCUGUUUCAAACAUUUGUUCUACAAUAUGUGUUACUAAUUAACUGGGAAAACUUGUAAUACCAUCACAUUGGAGUUAAGACCACAAUAUUUUUUGCUCAUUUAGAUUUAUUUUUUCCCAUGAAAUUACUGAACUGACGUCUGGAUCAGAUAUCUCCGUUUAAUUCGGUGUAACUAUGCUUCUCUCUAAUAACGCGUAAAACCAUCAAUGACCAUAAAUACGAUUUAAGUGUUUCGUCACAUCAUCCAACUUAAUCAUUCAGCUAUAAAUAUAUCAUGCAUGAUUUAAAUCACAUUGAUUGGGCUCAUCACUAAAACAAUGUUAAUUAACCCUCUGGUUAGCUAUGACAUCUUAAGGAUGGAAAGAGAAAUAUGACUUGGGCGCUUUCGACUUACGUACUUUUAAUAUCUUAGUACUUUCCCAGUCAAUGUGAUAUGACUCAGCUUUUCCUUUUGUUGAAUUUACAGUCUUGCCCUCGUGAGUUUACAGUCCUGCUGCACGCAGCUGAACUGGGGCUGUGUUAGCACUGAGCUUUACCAAGAACACAAUUUAAUGAUUUCUUCCACUGGAAAAAUAAUCAAGAAAGACACAUACAAGCAGAAAAUUCCAAAUGCCAGGCAUCUGUAAGAACCUGGUUCUCUCCGAUCAAACUGUAAUUUCCAUAAACGAAAACCACGGUCAAAUCAGAGGUUCUCAGCUGGGCUUCAGACUGUGAACUCCUAACAUUGUAUGCUAAACUGUGUGUGUGUGUGUGUGUUUUUGAGGAAAGGAGGCCCAUAUAUCAGAAUCUCGAAGGGAGCCAUGGCCUUGAAUAAAGGAGGGGGCAAGGGGCAGAAUCACUAGCUACUAUAAAUAAAUAGAGCAAAGUGAGGUCUGGGCAGGAGACCCCUAGUUUCCAUUUCAGGUUUCAUAAAAUAUCUGAAGAGCCCGGACAACAUCAUACAGCACUGGACCUUGGACCCUCAUAACAGCCCUGGGAGGCGGGCAAGAGAUGUGGCUCCAUUUUGCAGACGAGGAAAGUAAAGAGCCUGUGAAAGCUUUGAGGCUAAUAAACGUGGAUGCAACAUGCUGGGAAUUCAGAUGCCAUUUAACCAAUCCCCAUCAGAGCCACAUGCUUGUUUAUAGUAAGUACAGCUGAGGACUUGAAAGUUCUCUCCCAUCAUGUCUGCCUGCACCAUUGUGCUUUUAAAAAAAAAGGAUCUCACAUUAUGUAAAAGGAUUAUAGAAAUGCAAUUUUCAGUGCAUGAGUUUUAAUUUACGUUUUAUACAGCAUGCAAAAAAAGAAAAGAGCCCCACUUUUCUCAUUACCUCCAUCCCACCUCCAUACCCUCCCACCACCCAAGGCUACCUCAAAUCCAUCCUUCAUUUUCCAUUUUCCUUCCAGUCAUUCCCUUUCCAGACACUAAAGCCACCAGUGGUAGAAAUGUCUCUCGCUCUGUGUCUCCCAAACCAGGAGCUGGGUGUCUUUUCCUGCCCAUCCUCCCAGAGGUCUCUCCUCACUUCUUCACCUCUCAUUAUGGACUCCUAGGGACUUGCUGACCAAAAUAGCAAAGAAAAAUACAUUCCAUCGCCCCUUCCUAUCUAGGUGUUUAAAUGCCAGAGCUAUCUUUUCACUACCCUAUGACCAUACUGAGCAUGGACACAGCUGUCAACAGAAGAACAGAAAACAAGAAAGUCCCUGUGAGUUUGACCUGACAGAAGACAGGUUUGUCACCAGUCUCCAAGUCAAAAAUAGAUCACCCACUGCUCGGAAGGGCACAGGGCACUUUUCUACUCUUAUCUCAGAGGCCUCCAGCAGUUAUGUGAGCACUUGAUGGAAUGAAAUGUACAAUCAGCGAUAUGCUUUUGAAAUUACUUCUUUUUGACAGGCCCGCCAAGGACAAGAUGACAAUGAAUCCGUAAGGUCGAGGGUGAAAGUGCUGCGCUUCCACUGUGAUCACAAACCCCAGAAAGGACAGGAAGGGCCCACACAACAUCUUUCCCAAACCAACAGCUGGUCCAAUCGCCUCAUUUUAUAAAGGAGCAAACACACUCUCCACUUCACUUCAGGCACGUGGUGCUGUCUGAGAGGCAGAUCAAGGCACAUUUGCCAGAGUUUUUGUGAAUAAAUUUACUUCUCAAGAUGUUAGGAUCUAUCAUAAUCAUCCAGAUAUGUCACCACGGUCCUCUUGACCUGUCUCCUUCACAUUAUUUUUUGGCAGUGAUGGUUUUGGUGGCCCUAAGUGUCAGGAGAUCAACAUCUGACUCAAAUAUGUGACUUUAAUAGGUUGUCUCACACACAGUGAAAUAAAUACAUGAUAACACAGUCCAUGAUUCACUUUUGUAAACUUUAAAAUAGUAUUACUAUCUCGACUUUUCAUCCAAUUCCUCAACCAGACAAGAUGAACAGAUUAUACAGAAAUAAUAGCAUGCUAGAGUUUUGGAUGCAAUUUCUCAGUUACCAGUGGGAACCAGCCUGAACUUCCACAGAACUCUGUAGCACAAACAUUCCUACCCUAAAGAAGGUGGAAAUGAAGCUGCAGUUAAUGAGGUUCUGGCUUUUAGUGAAUUCUGUCCAGGACAAGAUCAGAAGCUCCCAGAUUUUUCCUUUUUUGACUAUAGCAAUGCCUAGGGAAAAUGACAAUUCUUUGCUUUCUUUUUUUUCCUUAACUAAUACUGUGGGAAAAUUUUCUAUGAAUUUCUUUAAAAGCUGAGUGAAUUUGCUCAUCCCUUCCCCAAAAAUUAAUUAGUUAAAAAAAAUCUUUCAAAGUGAGGAAUACAACCCCGCUCCUUGUCACAGGAUGCACUGGGAUUGGUCUCUCUUCCUUUUCUAUCAUCAUGACCACAGAGCCAGAAGUGAAAAACAUUUUCUGAAAUCAUCUAAAGGGCUAACAGAAACAUAAGAGCCACACGCACUGGCUCUUCACCGAUCUCCCAUGUGGUUACUAAAGGAAUAAUUUUAAUUACAGUCAGAAAUAGAAGCUUCUCCUUUUUUAGAAAGCUGACAAAAUAUUCAUUUUGUGUUUAAAAACAGAUCACACAACUAGAAGGACCCGCAACUAAAAUAUGCAACUAUGUACUGGGGGAAUUUGGGGAGAAAAAGCAGGAAAAAAAAAAGAAGAAAGAUUGGCAACAGUUGUUAGCUCAGGUGCCAAUCUUUGAAAAAACAAAACAGAACAAAAAUGAUAUAAAUAAAUAAAAGCAGAUCAGAGGCUUACAUUUUGGAAGACUGUUUGGCUUUCUAAUUGAGGCAAAAUCAUUUAAACUGACAUUUUACUCUACCUAGAAAUGUGCCUACAAAAGCAACGCAACUCAAUUUCCUUUAAACUCUGCUCCUAAGCCAGGCUUUUCACCCUUCAAGUUUCCCAACAAAUAGAAUAAAAAGAAAGCUCCUAAAGAGCAAGAGAAGAGGAAGAAGUAGUAACUUGGACCAUACUCAAUUCAAACUGGACCUAGCAUGUACCAGAAAAUACUACCGACUCCUCCUCCAUCCGAGAAGAUUAAUGAAAACCAAUUACCAGCUCCUGACCGGCUCUAGUCACUCUAAGGCUGCCACUCCCACUGCAACCCAACCGGCUGUGUGGUAGACUGAGCACAUAAAGUUGGCUAGUGCUUUGGGCUGAAAAAUAAAACUGCCCUCUGCCAUUAACAAGUUAAUGAAAUACAGACCUAUUAGGUCUGAGGCCACCGGAUGCCCACAAAGUUGUCAUUGGAAUAAAGCCAACUAUGAAAUCAAGAGGGUAGUCAAGAAUUCAAUGAGACCAACGAAGUCCAAGAAAGGUGACAUUUGGCAGCAACUUCAAAAACUGUAAUCGUCGUAAUCCAAAAAAUAAAAGGAGCGUCUAUGAGUCUGUACUGAUAUAAAUAAUUGAUGAAUAAAUUAACGGAGGCGAAGGAACAGCUCUUUCUUACAGAAGAAUUCCAAUUAACAAAUACAGAAGAAAUGCGUGAAAUAGAAAUUCACGUUGAAACACCACAGGAGAAAGUGUUGGAGACAAGCUCCAUUUACGGAUGCUAAAAUUAGCAGCUGAAAGUUUGAGGUGAAACAGGAUAUUUGCAUAAUCUUACAGUGUUUUCCUUGAGAUAUUCUUAAUUACACGGGGCGGGGAGGGGGGAAGCAGCUGUUAACUCUACAUUUCACCCCACCUUAACCAAGUGACGCACUGUAAGUGAAGUAACCUAACUGAUGCACCGAGACAGGCACAUCCCUUCUGUAGGACUCUUAUUUAAAAAUGCAUAACCUCAAUCUGAUCAUGAGAACAUAUCAGACAAACCAAAUCUAGGGUCCUUUUACAACACGGGUUGGCAAACUACAGGCGGGGGCCAAAUCUGGCCCUCUGCCUGUUUUCAUAAACGAAGUUAUAUGGGAGCACAGCCGUGUUCAUUCAUUUACAUACUGUCUGAGGCUGCUUUUGUGUUGCAACAGUAAAGGUGAAGAGUUGCAACAGAGACUGCAUGGCUGCAAAGCUGAAAAUAUUUACCAUCUGGUCUGAAACUGAAAAAGUUGGCUGAUCCUUGUUUUAAAAAAUAACUGGCCAGGGGCAGGCCCCAUGCCUGAGUGGUUAAGUUCACGCGCUCCGCUGCAGGUGGCCCAGUGUUUCGUCAGUUCGAAUCCUGGGCGCGGACAUGGUACUGCUCAUCAAACCACGCUGAGGCAGCGUCCCACCUGCCACAGCUAGAAGGACCCACAACUAAAAUAUACAACUAUGUACCAGGGGACUUCAGGGAGAAAAAGGAAAAAAAAAAUUCUUUUAAAUCUUUAAAAAAAUAAAAAAUAACUGGCCAGUACUCCUCAAAAGUGUCGAGGUCACCAAGGACAAGGAAAGACUGAGGAACUGAAACAGACUGGAGGGGACUAUGGAGACGUGACGACUAAUUGCCGUGUGGGAUCCUGGACUGCAUCUUGGAAGAGAAAAAGACAUUAGUGGAAAACUGCUAAAAACAAAAAAAAAUCUGUCAUUUGAUUAUAUACGUUGCAUCAACAUUCCCUUCUGGGUUUUGAUUAGUAUAUCGUGGUUACGUAAGACGCUAACACCAAAGGAGGCUGGGUGAAAAGUACACAGGAACUCUGUGUGUUAUAUAUGCAAAGUUUUUGUAAGUCUAAAACUAUUUCAAAAUAAAAAGUUAAACAAUUGAAAUGAGCUCCUCUGCCUGGUCUGAGGCUGAGGGAGCAGCAGCAGCCAUUUCUAGGCCAGCAUCACCUUUCAAAGUUUGUCUUUAUAGAGCUUAAAGGCAACUGUGAAAAUAAUUCCAAUGUCACCGACACUUCGUGCCAGUGACCUGAAGGCAGACGGGAUUAGCAGAGAGUAUUCCUUGCUUCAACCAACACUGCCUUUAAAAAUAUAAUAUAGCUUGGGUAUCCCUGUACUUAAAUGUAAAGUACUAAAUGAAUGGAUGAACUUAGACAUCUAAAUCUCCCCCAUGCUGUCUCUAAGUCUAAAUGAACCCAAAGAGGGAGGGGCAUGGGGAGAUGGUCCUGGAAGAGCCGGCCAGGGGUGGUUCGUAGACCCCAGGCAGAAGAGACCCAUCUGACAGCAGAGGGAGAUAGUGUGUUCCCCGGACGCAGGGCCAGUUCUGUCACCAGCUCCUCGCAAGCCUUGACAAGGGAAUGAAAUGCCUUCCACAGAGGUGUCCCUUCUUCAUUUACUACUCAAGGGCUAUCCCCGCAUAGCCAGUGAGGAACGGGACACAAGACACCCCUGCUUCUCUCCCACCAAACAACUACCAGGGAAACAUGCCACACAGAGCCGAGAUUUGUCAUAAGUUUUAACAGAUCACAUCUAUAAUUAUGCUAGAAAAGAGAGAGAGUCAGAGAAAGAGAGAUUACAAGAAAGAAGUGGAAAGAAGAAGGAAGCAAAGGGGAAGAGAGGAAUGAGGGUGAGCUGGGGAGGGGAGGUGGUGGUAGGGGAGCAUGCAAGGGGAGCAGGAAGGAAAAGCGGGUGCAGCUCUCCCCUGCAAGGGGCAGCUGGGCAAACUGACCCUCAGGAACCACCUGCCUCCCCCAGCCUUGCUGAUCGGCCUCAGUCUAAAUAGACUAAGCAGGGGCAGAGGGGAAGGUCCGACCGAGCAGAGCCGUGGAAGGUGAGUCAGCCUCCCUCCAGGUGAGCUGUCGCUGUGACAGGGACCGUGUGACAGAGUACUGGAGCCUAGGCUGGUUAACCGUGUGUGUCAGUCCCGGAGCUGGCCAAACACCCUUGGCAGAUCCUGGCUCACGGCUGCCCAUGCGAGGCCAUCCAUCAUCCUUAGCCCGGGGAGCAGGGAAACUGAGGGAGCUCGGAGAACCGAGGCAUCUUCCACCUUUUUAGCUGAUAGCACGCCUCCUCCCUCCUUUGAGAGAAAGGAACCCCUGAGGUGGGGAAAAGCCACGCAGUGGCUGGUGCCACCUGGAGAAGGAAGAGGAGGCGUUUUAUGAAUGGGCCUUUGGACAGGAAACAGCUCUUUGGGCCUUCCCCAGCUGUGGCCGUCCCUCCUCUCUCUGGAAAUUCUUUCAGCCCCAUCUGCUCGGAAGGAGGCAACACACCCAAGGAGCAAACCCACCACCCACUCCCGGGCUUCCGCCCCACCAAGAACAUUCCAGUGGUUUUGCCAAACAAACAAAUUGCUCUCGCCCAGAGCAGCCUGCGUGACAACAGGUGCCCGGCACCAACGCCACCUCUCACUCACAGUUUCUGGAUUUUACUGUUUUUCACUACCCCAUAUCACUGUUUUUAAAGUCGUUUAAAAACAGUGCUGUCCUACUAUGCCGUUCUCUAGAAAUUUCAGACGAGGAGGUUGAAAGCGGGCAGGGUCAGUCUAGAGAUGAAAUUGAGAUCGAGAUGCCCUCUGACUGCCUCUGGCAUGAGAUGGCAGGAGCUGUGAAUGACAAUCACCAAGUGAACAAGUCUGUGGCCAUCUGCGGGCUGGGCCUGUCUGCCUGGAUGGGAAGUGUGUCUGCAUGUGCCUCAGUCUGUCAGGGCUGCAGGAGGACAGACCUGCCUUCCUGCCCCAGCCAAACCCUCCCUCGAAAACAGCCGAGCGGCAGACAGACAGACCUCCAGGCUUCUGCUUUCACCUGCCCAGCCCUGCCCCCUUGGCUCUGGAGAGGAUCUGAGGGUUCAUAAAGCACUUUCACAUAAUGACACCUGACUUUCUGAACAACCCUGUGAGGCAGGCACCACAGGCAAGACACCCAGCCUUAGGAGGCGACAUGAUGUGGCCACCUGAAGACCCACAAUAACAGAAGCCACGAUAAUUACUAAUAGCACAAAAAUGACAGUAACAGUGAACAUUUAUUGGGCACUUACUAUGCACCAGGUACUGUACUAACCACCUUACAUGGCCUUCAUCCUUGUCCCAACCUUGGGAGGCAGAGAAGAGUAUUUAUAAAUGAGAAACCGAGGAUCUAUUUCACAGAUGUGAAAACUGAGGCUCAAGAAGGCCAAGUUUCCUGCCCAAGUCCACAUGGCCACUUGGUGGACUGUUCCGGAUUUGAACCCAGAACCUGCAGGCUUACCCCCGAUGGAGCCGCCCUGUCUCUGAAUGUGGUUGCAGCUGAGCACAAACUCAUCUGCGCUUGGGACCGGAGGAGCAUAAACCAAGUCAUUCCAUCAGUCAGAGGUACUGCAGCGCCUGGAACUUUCCGACUCCUGGUCCAGUGCUCCAAAACUGCAUCACACCACGGAAAUGUCACAUCUUGAUUAAGUACGAAGUGAUGCUGCCCCAGACAUUCUCCUGCUACCCACUGCUUCUAAAAUAAAAUUUGACCUGGAAAACUCUUUAACGUCUUCAAGCACAACCCCUUCAUACUCCAAGUCUCCAAGUCUCAGAGAAGCCGAGCUCUGACCAGAGGAGCUGGCAGCAGAAUGGAGAGUAGGACCCAGAGCCCUCUGGCCUUGCACACUCAAGAUGCUUUCCACAACCAAAGUGCAUCUUACCAGAAACAAACGACGAGGGAGAAGUCACCCAACCAGAGCUUUUCCUAGGUGACUGACUCAGGACGUCCACCUCCAGUGACAUCGCAGUGAGUAUGAAGCUGCUUCAGUAAAGUGAACCAAAUUACGAGAAGACUCUUUCAUGGUCUCAGCAUGGCCGCGGGCUCAAAUGUGUCUUGCAACAGAAUUCCAUUUAGUGAUACUUUCAUGGCCAAUUAAUGGAAACAAUGUAUUUAAAUGCCUUGACACCUACAUAUAUUUUGCAUAAUCAUUUUUAAUCUUUUUUCUUUGUUUAGGUUUUUGUAGGAAUCUGUUUUGAAUGAAUAAACUUUUCAGUAUUCCCAUACUCCAUUUCCCCGCCUUAGGUUGAAAGAAAUCCUUUCUUUUCCAUCAUAUUAUUUACCUCAAUUUACUCUCUCAUAAUUAUCUGCAUGUUUUCGGUUUAUGUUUGUUUUCUGCACUAGACCGUGGGCUCCACCCACGAGGACCACACCUGUUCUGUUCGUCAGUGAGCCCCUAUGACAGCACCUAGCACGUAGUAGGAGUUCAAUAAAUACUUCUCUUAGUUGAAUGAAAUAGGAAUGAAUGAAGUGUCCUAUGGGUUAGAUAGGGAAGCAGUAAGCUCUGGAGGAUGCAAACCCCCUUUACUUCAAGCAAAACAAUUCAGAAAGCCAUUAUUUUACCAGCCAGGUUGACACCAUUACUUUUAUACAGAAAGUCAUUACAGGAAGAUGAGCACCAUAGGCCCAUCAAAACCAAAAACUAUCUAAGAUGCCCUAUUUUAAAAUUCACCUAUUAGAAAAUUAGGAAAAUUAAACCAUGGGCAACACUCCAGUUUUUCCAAAAUACCACUUAGCCCCAAAUAGGUCUGCAAGUAGCCAUCUGAUUCUAGCCUUAUUUGGAAACUUAAAAAUUCUACAGUGACUCUGGAAUUUUAAUAAAAUUUUCACAUUUUCAGACACAUUACAUAUUUUUUAACUUUUAUUUUUCCUUAUAGCUUCUUACAUCCCCAAAUUUCAAAACCAAUAUUGGAUUAGGAGCAACAAGGAACAUUUAGUGGUUCCAAGGAAACCAAGUCAGAUCAUACCAAGGAAGCAGAGACAGAACAAAUAGGUUUGUCACCACCAAGGAGACUGAAAAUCAGAAGAGGAUUAGAAAUUGUUCUUCCUGGUGGACACAUGCACUGUGGCUUUCAAAAUUCUUGGAGGAAGUAAUGUUAAGAAAAACUCUACAACCACAGGAUGUUACACAGAGAAAAACUACUAUGUGAACUGUUGAAAAUGUGCAAGACUUGAGUGUGAGAAUCACCAAGUGCUAUUUCUCCAUAAAGUCUGAGAGUGAUUUUUUUUGUUGUUGUUGUUCAGGAAGAUUUGCCUUGAACUAACAUCUACUGCCAAUCUUCCUCUUUUCACUUGAGGAAGAUUCACCUUGAGCUAACAUUUGUGCCAAUCUUCCUCUUUUAGUAUGUGGGUUGCCACCACAGCAUGGCCCCUGAUGAGUGGUGUAUGUCCGUGCCUGGGAACUGAACCUAGGCUGCUGAAGUGGAGCACAUCGAACUUAACCACUAGGCCAUGGGGCCUGCCCCCCUGGAAGUGAUUUUUUUAUUUAGCACUUCGCCUUAGAGCACAGUUUUUCUUGCACUGGUUUUUUUUCUUUUAAAUUGUUUUGUUUAAACAUUUCUGUCUUGGUUAUAAAUAUUCCGUGCAUUGUUUAACUUUAUAGACAAUUAAAUAUGCUACUUUCAAAUAUCUAUUUUUCUCUCUGAGAUGCAGAGCAAUUAUCUGGGGUGGGUACCAUCAGGAAGUGGGAAGCAGCAGAACUAGGACACUGAUAAUUUCAGCAGAUCCUGAUUUCAGCCCUUGGAAUGCACAGUUGGCACCAGAUCCUGUGCCGAAUUUCAGUGCAAUGUCCUGGUUUUACCCUCCAAGUUUUGGAGGACAAGGAGAAAUGCAGUCAGUUCUUGGAGCAAUGAAGAGCCACAUUUGGAAUUUAUAGUCCAUUCCUGGAAUGCUCCAGAAGAAGGAAUACAACAUCUGGUAUCUGUGUUGGCUAAUUAUUAUUACAAGUGACACCAAAAAAAUUUUACCUGAGUCAUGUCUUAUUCUCAUUCUUUCUUCUUCUCAGAGAUCUCUUUAUAGCCCUAGGGAUAUUUGAAAAAUGUAAGCCCAUAGCAGCUAUCAUUGCCUGCCUGCUUACUCCCUGGUGGGCAUUCUGCUAGGUGGUUUGUGUAAACUAUCUCAUUUAACCCUCCCAACAACCCUGAAGUUAGCAUUAUUAUUAUUACCCCUCUUUCAUAAAUGACAAAAUUGAGGUUCAGAGAAAUAACUUCCAAGGUCAUAGCUAAAAAGUGGUAGAGCCAGAAUGUAAGCCCAGGUCUGAUUUGAAAGGCUAGGCUCCUCCAGAACCCAAAGGGGACCAUGCUAAUGGCAUCAGGAGGUCUCAGCUGUUACUCAGAGGUAGUAGUACACUGUGGUGAAGAACACAGACUCCGCGAACAGGCUGCCUGAUUCAGUCCAUCUGAACCCCAACUCUGCCACAUACCAGCUGGAAGUUACUUAACUUCUUUAUGUCUCAGUUCCUCUGCUGGAAAGUGCACACAAUAAUUGUAAUCUGCUUCAUAAGGUUGUUUGAGGAUUAAAUAAGAUAACAUAUGUAAAGCGCUGAGAACCAGGCUGUAUGCACACAAUAAAGGGUAGCUGCUAGGAACAUGCUGUUGACGAGGAUGGCGAUGGCGGUCAUGGUUUCAAGGAUCAGCCUCCCUGCUUGACUUUGGGCUCCCCCUAGACCCAGACCCAUCACUCUAUGCAACCUUUCACCCAUCACAAUUCAACAAAAAUCUUAUUCUAACCAGGCUCUCCUCCCUUAUUUCACCAGAGUCCCCUCGGGGUAUAACUUCGAUAACUUCCCUUCCACCUACCCAAAACCUGCUCAUUCCUUCAAGGCCUCUCCAAAUUCUACCCACUCUGUGUCUUCCCCAAACGCUGAGGGCCCACUGGUCUUCUCCUUCCAGACCAUUUGCACCCCACAACGUUGGCACUUAGAACACCGUCCUCAAUCAGGCACACACCGUGAACACAGGAUUACGUCCUGUCCUGAAACAUUUGUUAAAUACUUCACCUUUCUUUGCCUUAUCCCCACGACUUGGUUGCAAGCUCCUUGAGGACGGUAUGUGAGAAUUAUCUCCAAGAGUAGAGAGUGGACUUAAGAAACUUGAGUCUAAAGAAUACAGUUCAUCCACAGCCUCAACGAUGCCAGACUCUAAAUUUGAUCUCAAAGACUUAAGCAGUAUCAGUCUUAAUGCCUGCACUUACUACCCGCUUGUUAAUAUGCAGGUUUCCUAAUGCAAUUAAAAUUAUUUGGAUUAAAAGGCUUCAACCCUAUUAAUCCAGUGAGCUCCUAAGUGAUCCACAAAGACUUGGGGGGCAUUAUUGAGCUUGGGUAGUCAUGACACAAAUGUGCAGCUACAGGUUCUAUAAUUCAAGUGUGCCCAGCAUCUGGAACGGGCUGGGAACUGGGAGUAAUUCUAAGGAGAUACUCAGAACUUGUUUAAACUGCAGAACACUGGACUCCUGCUCUAACACUAAAGUAGUAGGGCAUAUACAGCAGCUCUGGAUUUAAGAGCUCGCGAUUGUAAGCAAAGCUUCACGAACAUGACAGCCAGGCACAGAAUGCAUGAACUGAUGAUACGGUCACAGGUUUUCUAAUGGAUUUUACAGAACCUAAGAACUGACCAUGAACAACUCAAACCAUCCUACACAGUUCACUUGUUACUAAAACGCAGCCCUUCCAACACAUUUGCAGACUAAUGGCUGUAAGUGGCUUCCUCAGUUCUUCCCAUCCACCUGACACACAAAGGGACUGAAGUGCACCCUUGGAGAGAGACCCCCCCCAGGGAACAACCUUGACAAGCAAUUGCAAUAUGAGGGCAGGGUUGCUCAAAAUGAUCUCAGGUCUGGUCUCUGCCCCAGGAAGAUGGGUCCUCAAACUGGCAAGGGAAAGCCUCUCCCUUGUGAACCAUGCUGCUUAAAAUGGAAGCCAAACCCACAAAGGUGUGUCACAGGCAGAAAAUGGUAUUUCCUUUAUAUGUGACUCGAGCCCGUGGGUUAGCAAGCCAUGACAACGGCACUCUACUUUAAUCGCACUGAUCCAAGACAACCUCCAGAACCACCUCGACCCCUGAAACACAACUAAACCUCAUUCCUCCAGGUUCCAUAGAGGCCAACAUCCUCAACAUGCAGGGCAUUGGAAAUAAGACGGUUACAGAAUGCAGACUCUCAAGUCAGCACCUCCUAACUCUCCUCUCCUAUGGUCUUAGCCUCAGUAUCUGACAAGGAUUCUCAGAAUAUCCAGUGCUGGUGAGGCUGGUGUAGACCACACACUCAAGCAUAGCUAGCGGGAGCGAAAAUCACUACAAACUUUUUGGAAAGUUAUUAAAAAAAAAAUAUAUAUAUAUAUAUAUAUAUAUAUAACACAUAUGUGUAUAUAUAUCUCACAUAGAGAGAGAGAGAAGAGGGAAAGACAGAGAGAGAGACAAAAAUGUCCCCGCAUUUUGCUCCAAAUAAUUACAAUAAUGAGACUACAACCUAAUAGGGAGAAAACUUUAGGCAAAAAGAUGUUUACCACAGAACUAUUUUUUUAAAAAGAAGACCCCAACCAACUAAAUAACCAACAGGGAAACGACUGUAUAUACUUAAAAAAAAAUAUUAUGCAGCCAGUAUGCCUGUUUGUAAAAUAAUGUUAAGUGAAAAAAAGCAGACUUCAGAAUUGAACAUUAUAGCACAAUUAAAACUAGAAAAAAGAAAAAGAAGGCAAAGGGACUAUCCUAAACCGCAGCUGAUUUUGGAGAGUGGACCCAUAAGGGUUUUUCUCCGCUUUUCCACUGUCCUGUAAGAAGCUCGUGUUCACCUUAUUUGAACGACUGCUAAGGUGCAGGUCCAGGGUGCGUCCCAGAAUGAUGGGGGCCUUGGCGCUCCAAAAGAAAGAAGCCGCUUCCCCACUCCUUGAGAAACGACCAUCUCUCCGAGGGCUGCUGUGACCCCCCAGGCCUGGAAAGGUCCUAGGCAGGGGACGGCAGCUCCCUGCGACCGAGCCUGGGGCGCUGGAACAGGGCGGGCUCGGCAGAUCGCCGGGCGCCGCGGGCCCCGGGGCUGUCGGCCGAAGGCACCCGAAAGCUCGGCGGGUCCGAGAGAGGGCGGCAGCCAGCAGGGAGAGGGGGUCUCCCCGGAGGGGGAUGCAGGGUCUCGGUGCGGGUGACACACGACUCGCAGGGAGCCUACCCUUCGCCCGGCUCGCUGAGAUUUCCCAGGCUUCUAGAGUUUUUAAACACACACAAGGAUUGAAUUAUUCGGAGAGCUCAGCAGAAACAACCGGGAUUAAGGAGAGGAAAGCUGAUCGAGCCAUAAAGCGACAAGUGCUGCCACCUCUCCCGCCCUCAGCCGGCCUGCCAGGGGUCCGGCUGAAGCCUCACCACUGCCCCCACCCGCAGGGUCCCGGGCAUCGCCGCCCAGCGCCGGAGAACCUGCUCCACGUGCGCCGAGACGCAUGGGGGCCGCGAGGAGGAGGGCCCUGCAGUCUCGCAGGUAAAAGCCCUCUCGGACAUCAAAACCGGGAUUCCACAUUAACAAGAAUGGAAGAAAAGCCCCUAAUACAGGCCCUAAAAUACCCACGUUUGUCCCUCCAGCGUGAGGGGGCAGGCCCGAUUGAUUUAAGCAUUGGAAUUCCUCAGAGAUGAGGGGCUGUCAGCCUCAGCACGUCAGUGGCCAGCAGACAUUGACCCUCAGACAUACCCUAAAGGGAUGGGGGCUCUCGUUGUAAAAGCAUAAGGAAGAAUUCCAAAAUAAUAUGAAUAAUCCCACGCGAAUAGAUCUGUUCUGUAAAUUCACAUUUUUUUUUUAAGAUUUUUAAAUUUUUUCCUUUUUCUCCCCAAAGCCCCCCGGUGCAUAGUUGUACAUUCUUUGUUGUGGGUCCUUCUAGUUGUGGCAUGCGGGACACUGCCUCAGCGUGGUUUGAUGAGCAGUGCCAUGUCCGCGCCCAGGAUUCAAACCAACGAAACACUGGGCCGCCUGCAGCAGAGCGCAGGAACUUAACCACUCGGCCACGGGGCCAGCCCCCUGUAAAUUCACAUUUUUAAAUUUACUUUUUCCAAAAAGGUUUAAAAGGAGUGUUUCUUUGAAAUACUGUUAAUAAACAUGUAAAAAUAUUAAGAAGAAAACAAAGUAUAUUUCUAUUAAAUUGAUUUUUUUAAAAAUCUUGAAAUAGUGAGAUGUGUUUGCUUAACAGACACACAGUGCCUAACACUUGCAUCGGCACUGUGCUAGGCACUGUACAAAUAUUAACUAACUCAUUCCUAAUAACAGCCCCAUGGAGUAGGUACUGUGGUUAUCCCCACUUUACAGAGGAGGAAACUGAGGCACAGGGAGGUUAACUUGCCCAGGUCACACAGCUGGUAAGUGGCAAAGCUGGGAUUCAAACCCAGGCAGAGUGGUUCUCAUAUCCUCUCACAAAACUCUCAUAAGUUUCAUAUCCAAACUCAUAACCGCAUAAGUUACUGCUGACUCUGCAAUGUGGCAAAUAUAUCAAGAACAAUAAAAAUAUUCAUACCUUUUGUAACCCCAUUCCUGGGAAAUAUUCCAAAGCUACAUGCAUGACGAUAUCCAUUACUGUAGUAUUGAUAGGACUCAAAAACUGAAACCAUAAUUGUCCAUCAGUUGGUGAUUAGAGAAAUUUUGGUAGAUCAGCUCAGUGGAAUUUCAAGCAGUCAUGGAAAAUUAAAUUAUGAAGAUACGGCUCCAGAGAAAUAUUUUUACAAUAUAUUGUUAAGUAGAAAAAACAGAACAUAAAGUUGUGUGUCAUAUUUCAAAAUAUAUGCACAUGACCGAACAGAAAAGGAAUGAAGACAAAAUAGGCAGAUAAUUGAGUCUGACAAAGAGAUUGUUGGUAAUUAUUUUUUCUUUCAAAGCUGUCCCUUUAGGUUGUUACAGUAGGGCUGUUACAAAUAAAACCUGGAGAAAGGGAAGUAUGCCUUAAAGUAUUUAUGAGAAUAAACCAUAUUUUUACCAGCCAUGGACAUUCAGAAGGAAACUUGCAAGAGGGAUGGUUUUACUGCAUUUCAAUGUUCUCUGAGCCCGGCUCCCCCUUGUCGGGGAAGGAGAAGGACCGUGCUGGCAGCUGGAAUGAGCGCUGCCCUCAACCGCCAUGCUGGAGAACUCCAGCAGGGAGGAACCAUGGCUGCGCGGAUUGCAGGCCCAGCCACAACCCCACAGAUCAUAGCAGCGGAAGAAGCAAAGGCUGAUUUUCACAGGCUCUUCACACACAAGCACGUGAUCUAAAGAAACGCAGCCCAGUCCGGGGAAAUUUAGGCUCAGAUCUCACCUCAGAGGACAAUUUAGGGAUGUGCCACAUUCUUUGCUUCCUUAUCUAUCUGUGCCACAUACCACCACCCAACAGUCCCUGGGAAGGAGACGAGAGUGAUCGUGACCAUUUCUUGGAUCCAUCCUGAAACUCCAAGAUGUGAAAUCCUUAGACUCCCUAAGGGGUCAAGUCAAAGAAAAACAAGACAAAAAUGUUCUCCUGAAAAGGAACAACCAAGCAAGGUGAAAGUAAAAGGUACCAUAGAGAUGAGUCAUUAGCCUCACCAAGGAAUAAACUUGAGUCGAGGUAAAAACCAAGACAAAAAGAGGCUGGCCCCAUGGCCUGGUGGUUAAGUUCACACGCUCUGCUUCAGUGACCUGGGGUUCACCAGUUUGGAUCCUGGGCAAGGACCUACACUUGGCUCAUCAAGCCAUGCUGUGGCAGCAUCCCACAUAGCAGAACUGGAAUGACUUACAACUAGGAUGUACAACUAUGUACUGGGGCUUUGGGGAGGAAAAAAAAUAAAGAGGAAGAUUGGCAACAGAUGUUAGCUCUGGGCCAAUCUUCCUCACCAAAAAAAAAAAAAAAAAGCAUACGAAAUAAUAAAGUUGAGAAUUAUAAAAAAAGGCAGGGGAGGGAAAAUUGGCACAGAUGUUAGCUCAGGGAGAAUCUUCCUCAGCAAAAAAAAAAAAAAAAGAAGAAGAAGAAGAAGAAAAAAAUAUCAGGAACAACUGAAUGGAUGAAACUGAAUAGUUUCAAAGAAAUGAUAUAUUAUUCUGAAUUCAGCAACUCUGUUUAUGAGGGGUUUAUCCAUUCACAAGUCCCAACCAACUGCCUUAUCCAGAAGCCAGGAGAGCAUCUUUCAGCCCCUAUGCUUAAGGACUGUGGCAACAUUCUAAAGCACACUUAGUGUAUACCCUUUCCCACUCCUACCCUUACCUUCUUUUACCAGCUGGACACACCGAAAAAUAUCAAUCUGGCCAGGGCAGCCAGUCCUUGACUGCAACCAAAUGAAGGUGCAAAGUCUUCAGAACUGAGCCUAAAAGUGUUGUCAUUUAAUCCACAGUUUUAUUGAAAAGAUCAUUAAUGCCUGUAAGCAGUUUGUUGGACUGCAGGCGAAAACCUGUAAGGGAUUUUUCAGACAGACGGUAGUGGCCUAGAAACACAUCAUACUUCAUUUUGAUUGCUUUUAGCAGAAAAUGCAAAUAAUAUAUAGAAGGAGCUUAUUGUUUAAAUAUCACUCCUAGUCCCCAAAAGUAAAAUGACCACCUGCCACACAGACACACAGACAUACAGACACACAGACACACACACACAGACACACACAGAGACACAAACACACACACACACACAGACACACACACACACACACCCUUCCCUGUUCUUCCCUCUCAGACUCUGUCUGGAAACAUCUGCAUAGUUCUCCAGCCAUAAACACCCUCCCUGUCAGCGGAUUAGUGAAAGGAACUGGCAUUUUAAAUUAAUCUUCGCUUAUCCUCAACGAUGGCUUUGCCGCCAUACCGAAAAAAUCAAAGGAAGUUUUUCCUCUGCUUAAAAAUAACAAUGCCUUUAAGGGACUCAGGGCAAGAUGAGCUGAGUAUACGUUCACAUAAAAGUGAGAAGGAAAAUAACACAACUUGAACACUUUUUUCACUUAAAAUCACCGUUUUCAAAAUCACUUUUCAAAAAAACAAAGCAAAGGCCAGGACUUAUCAUGCUCAACAGGCUUUUUAAAAAAGUGUUUUCCCCGAAAAAUGUCCACAGGGAACUGCCUUAAGAAGAAGUUCAAACGAGAGCCUUUGUCACUCCCUGCCUUCAAGUGAAACUUUAGGCCAAAGAAUCUUAAGAGUCAGGAUCAUCUCUGCCCUCUGCUCUCCCCUCCCUUCACAGUCCUCAAAGAGCAGACUUUAAAAAGAUUUCAAAGAGGGAAUUUAAGAGGGUUUCUGAAAGUUUUCCGCAGCGCUCUCAUCACUCAUCAUGAGCCCUCUGGACAGGAAUGACACUUGUUAAGUUUUUUUCCCUCUCCCUCCCUCCACCUGUUGUCUCAAGUCUCCCUGGUAUGCCGGGCCAUUCGCACUUUCUGCUGAAUGACGUCUCCCCGGGCACCCAGCGUCUCCCUUCCACCCAAGUGGCUGCUUCUAAAUUGGAGCCCCUGGAAAAAUAGGUACCAAUUCCGGGCACUUGAUAUCUGAGCAUCACAGAACGGUCAUAGGUGAGUGGGUUGAUUUUUUCCCCUGUUUUAUUUUUUUCUAGUAUAAUGGCUACCUCCACCUUAACGUUCUAGGAUAAGUGAAGCUGGGAUGGGUGAAGACACAUAAACUCAGAUAGCAGGGGAUCAGCAAGUUGUCCCUAACUUCCCUUUGGGACUUUCACCCUAGGUAGACCCAGCCACAGCUCUGGAACUCUCGGCGGGAUGCUUGGCAUAAAUGGCGAAGUUAAAGCUGGCCUCCAGCGAGCCAGCUGGAGUUUUCUACAGACUCACCUAAGAAGGAUCCUCUCCAGCUGCCCUAGGCUAUCAAUCCACCUAAAAUAAAACACGGCCAGGUGGAGAAACUACUGCCCUUAGAGCACUGUGCCUCCUCACUCAGGCUAAAUGGUCAUUCCAAACUUAGGCAAGGCUGCCCCAGGUCCUGGAGAAAGUGCUGGAGAAUGUGCUAGGGCUGGGGGGCGGAGGGGGAGGUGCAGGUCAUAAGGCAUUUCCAAACACGCAAUGUCCAGCCCAGCUCAGGGAUUCCUAGGAUCUCAGUGAACUGUGCUUCCGCUUUCUCUUCGAAAUAAAUAUGUGAGGCCUUACCAGUUCAUGUAGUCCUCCCACAACCAGACAAGGUCGGUUGAAGAAACCGAAGCCCAGAACAGUAAGGUCACGCAGCUAGUAAGUGACAGGCCACGCUACGGAAACCCAGGUCUCUCUCAAUCCACAGCCCAGGGUGGUGCCACAGGGAAGGCCCAAUAAGGUCAAGGUGGAGGCAUGCAUUCUUUCCAUCUUCUUGCCUAAAUUUCCUUCCCUCAAAGGAAGACCAACUCUGAUGUUUCAUCCUUGUUCUGCUUUUGCCCCCAUUUUCCCAAGUUUAUAUUACAGCUGCUUGUAAAACCCUGUAAACUCUCAAUCUAAACAAUUCCAGAACAGUCUGAGCCACAGAGGGACAUAAAUUCUUCAAGGCAAGAUGGAAAGACCUGGAGCCUUGGGGCCAGAGAGAAAUGAGUUAGAAUCCCAGCCCUUCUAAUUGCUAGCCAGGUGAUUUCACUUGUACACUCCACAGCCCAAAAUUGAACUCAGGGAAGGCUGAAAUCAGGACUGGCCAACCAAAUGAGCUGGUGGGCUUCAUCUUUCUUACUUUCGUUAUGGAAAUUGUCUAACUAUACCAAGGUAGAGAGAACAGUAUAAUAAAGUCCCAUGCACCCAUCACCCGGCUUCAACAAUUAUUAACUUGCAACCAAUCUUAUUCACUCUGUACCCCUCCCCAUUCUCACCUCCACACUAUUCUUUUGAAGCCAAUCAUUUCAUCUAUAAAUACUCUAGUAUAUAGCUGAAAAAUAGAAUAACUUUAAUUUUAACAUAAUCACAAUAUCAUUAUCACAACUAUAAAUAAAUAAAUAAAACAAUACAUGAAUAGAUCAUUCUUCAGCCUCCAUGUCCAGUCUGUUCAAAUGUCAUAACUAGUCUCAUAAUUUUUUUUUAAUAGUUGGUUUGUUUGAGCUAGGAUCCAAGCAAAGAUUGUAGACUGCAUUUUGCUGGAAAAUAUUUUUAGUAUCUUUUAUUAUAGAUUAAGAACCCCAUGGAGCCAGCCCAUGACCAAGUGGUUGAGUUCAUGAGCUCUGCUUUGGCAGCCCAUAGUUCACCAGUUUGGAUCCUGGGCACGGACCUACGCACUGCUCAUCAAGUCAUGCUGUGGCAGCGUUCCACAUAUAAGAACUAGAAUGACCUACAACCAAGGAUAUACAACUAUAUACUGGGGCUUUGGGGAGGAAAAAAAAAAGGAGGAAGAUUGGCAACAGAUGUUAGCUCAGGGCCAAUCUUCCUCACCAAAAAAAAAAGAAGAACCCCCUUUGCUUUGCUUUUCUUUUUUUUUCUUUUGUGAGGAAGAUUAGCCCUGAACUAACAUCUGUUGCCAAUCUUCCUCUUUUUGCUUGAGGAAGAUUGCCAUUGAGCUAACAUCUACGCCAACCUUCCUCUAUUUUAUGCAUGAUGCUGCCACAGCAUGGCUUGACGAGCAGUGCUAGGUCUGCACCUGGGAUGCCAAAGCAGGAGCGCACAAACUUCACCACCACACUACCACACCAGCCUUCCCUCCUGCUUUUCUUAUUUGUUGAGGAGACCAGGUGUCCCACCUUCCAACUGGAUGAUUUUUAUCUCCAUGGUGUUGUUUUGACAUGUUCCUCUGUCCCCUGUAUUUUCUAUAAACUGGUGGUUAGAUCUCGGGCCUGACAUAGAUCCAGGUUCUAUUUUUGAUAGUGCUGUGUACUUCCUAUUGCAUCACCUCAGUAGGCACAUGAUGCCUGGAAGUCUUUCUCUUUUGUGACAUUAAGGUUGAUCAGCGGGUUUGAAUGUCACCAGCUGAUCCAUCCAUUACAAAGGUUCCCAUCAGCUUCACCUGAUGUUCUUAGCAGCUGUUUCAUAACCAUGUUGUCUAAACUCAUUCACUAGGGGUUGCAAAACGGGGACAUUCCAACUCUGUAAUUCCUUCUGUAUUUAUUAGAUAGACUUCCUCUGUAAAAAAGAACUCCUCAUCAAAAAUUCUGAUACCCUAAGGUAACUAAUAAGAAAGGACAGAAUAAAUGUCUGAUUCUUUCCCUUUCUUGACUAAUUUUCAGGAUAAGUUGGUUCCCCCGCCUCUUCCACCGGGAACUACUGAAUUUUUAACUCAUGGAUUUUACACACUGUAAUAUAUUUGAUAUCAAUCCACUACAGUUGUUCUUUUUAAUGCUCAAAUUAUUCCAUGUUUGGGCACUGGGAAAUGCUCAAUUUGGCUCCUGAGUUCUUUUGACAAGACAUGAGUGGUCUUUGAUAGCUUCUUUGCUUUGUAAUACAAGAUAUUCCAAUGCAUUUUGUACAUUUCCUGUCCCAGACCUGUAAUCAGCCAUUUUUCUGAGGAUUCAUAGCUCCUUUUUUUUGUGAGGAAGAUUAGCCCUGAACUAACAUCUGUGCCAAUCUUCCUCUACUUUAUAUGUGGGAUGCCUCCACAGCACGGCUGAUGAGCGGAGCAGGUCCACGCCUGGGACCCAAACCUGCGAAUCUGGGCCACCAAAGCAGAGCACAUGGAACUUUAACCACUCGGCCACAGGGCCAGCCCCCAUAAUCCCUUUUAGUGGCAAAUUGUAUUUAGAGGCCACGAUCUGGACAUUACAGGUGCUUAUUGCUACUAAGUUGGUCGUUAUUUCUAGGCAUUUCAGUGGAAAAAUUUAGGAAAUAUUUUUUCAAUUGUUAAAGAGAAAAUAUAUCACGAGUUCAUACUAUUUUCCAAUUCAAAUUUAGGAUUACAGGAUUUUUACUUAACAUCUUUGAGUAUAAAAUUGCUGUCUCUUUUUUAUUAUACUAAAAAUACUGGUUUCUGGUGGUUUUAACAUAAUUACUAUACAUAUAUAAUCAAUUCAGAAUAGUAAUAUCAGUAUUAUUACUAACAGUAUUACUAAAAUAGCUUAAGAUACAUUUCAAAUUUGUUUUGACCUUAAGAUAUAUUCUACUAGAGAUGUAUAAUCAAAUUAUUGUGUUUUAAAGUUACGUGAAACAAUUCUGUGUGUGGUAAGCUACCAACUUAAUACAUACAUUUGUUUCAUUUAAUCUUAAUUUGGGGGAAUUAUUUUUUUUAAUUAAAUUUUGUCUGUAGUUAAGAAAAAUACUUACAGAGUUCCAAAGUCAAAUGUACAAAACACAAUACCUUCGGAAAAGUCUAGCUUCUAUCCUUGACCCAUCCAUCCAUUUCCUCCCCCUGUACAAGUAAUCAUUUUUAUUGGUUUACUCUUCCAUUUCUUUAAAUUAUAAGCAAAUACAUACGUAUUUCUCAGAUAAAAGCUAUCUAUUUUUUCUGAACCCUGCUUUUUUCACUUAAAUAUAUACCAUAGAGAUCAUCCCAUAGCUGUAUAUAAAGACCAUUCUCCUUCCUUCUUAUAGCCAUAUAGCGUCUCAUAUUAUGGAUGUCCCAUAGUUUAUUCAACCCACUCCCUAUUGAUAGACAUUUGGGUUGUCUCCAGUCUUUUGCUAUUACAAAUAAUGCCACCAUGGAAAGCCUUCUGCAUAUGUCUUUUCUUAUUUUUGCCCAUGGUAUCUUUGGGAUUGAUCUUAUAAGUAGGAUUGUUUGGUUAAAAAAUAAUGCACUUGUAAUUUUUCUAGAUAUUGCCAAAUUCCCUUCCUUAGAAGGUACCAUUUUUACAUUCCCACCAUAAGGUGGGGCCUUUAAUUAAAAAAAAAAAAUCUCUGUAAUCUCAGGGGGCUUAAUUAAAAAUCUCUGAAAGGGAUUUUAAUUAAAGCCAUCUGAUUCAAUUAUCUAUGUUUUGGACAAAGGAAAUGUCUUUUGGGAAAGGUCAAUGACGUGCUCAAGGAACUGCCCUCAUCCUCAGCCUUUCCGGACUUACAUGUGCACUUUGCACAUGAUUCUCUCUCCCUUGAUUAUGUCAGAGAAGUUAGGCACAGUACUAAAUAUUCAGAUUGAAAAUAUCAUAGGUUAGUUUAGGUCUUUGUGAACUACAAGUGGUCCCCUGAAUCGGAAAAUCAAAGUUCACGGGGAGGGGGGCUUUUAGGUACUUUCUCCUUUCCUAAUUGCCUUUCAUCCUUUUAACAAAUCACAUGUGGGUUGUAACGUUCCCGCAGCCAAGUGCUGGCCCCUCGCUACACCCACACCACUGAGAGCAUCUUUCCUGAGCUUCCCUUUCCCCAUAGCAUCCUCCCAGCGUCUGAGAUUAGGCAGCACAUAGAUGCCAUUGGUUCUCCCUGCUCAUUUCUAUUUGUAACAUCUCUCAAGUCUGGUCCCCCUCCCCCAUCACCACUGCAACUGCCUUAAUACAAACAGCUAACACGUAUGAUACCUUUACGUGUAUGAUCUCAUUUACUCCUGACAAUAACACGAUGAGGUAGAGCCCUAUGUGCCCCAUUUUAUACCUGAAGAAAUAGAAGUGCAGAGAGGUUAAGUAACUUGUCCACAGUCACACACCUAGCAAGUAAGUAGGAAGCCAGGAUGCAAACUCAGGCAUUCCAACUCCAAUACCUACCUUUAACUUGUGCUAUGGUGCUUCCUCAUUUCAGACCGUCAGCACCUCUCAUCUAACUAGUGCAGGGGCCUCCUAGCUGACAUGCCUACCUCUAGCUACGCAUCUACACAAACACACACACGCAUGCACAUGUGCAUGCACACACGCACACAACUCUGCCAAUUAUCCUCUCUUCUCCAAUACCCAUGUAAUCUUUCCAGAACACCGAUCUCAUUACAUCAGACCUCUGCUUACAAAUGGAUACUCAAAACAUAGCAUCCAAACUCCUUACCUUGAGAAACACGUUUCUGUAUCACCAGCAUCCUGCCUUAUUUUACAUCCUCAGCUCUCACCACUCCCCAGCUACCCCAUCUCCUAUCAGUGCCCCUUAAUUAGAAACACACUCUGACCUCCAGUCAAGUGGAAUUACUCUGAGGCUCUCAGUUCACCAUGUCUUUGUCAUCUCUGAAAGUACAUUCCUACCUAAAAUGCUCUUCUCCCACCUUCAUCUGGACCCCACCUUUCCCCAGCAACCUGACAAGCCCAUAGGCAUAGAUUCAGGAUCAGCUCAGACUGAUCUCAUCAGACAGCGGACCCGUCCUUCCUGGAGCUUCUUCCCUCCCCUGCUGUAACAUGGGUCUCACUCUCACACCCUCAACCCACUCGCCCUGUUCUCCACCUACAUUCAGGCAAUCAUUUUAUUAGGUUUUCUUUUUGUUUAUUCUUUCAGUAUUUUUAUGCGACUAAUGUGAAUAUCAUAUAUAUAUAUAUCUGACAUCAUAUAUAUAAUAUAUAUAUAGCUCACAUAUGAUCACAUAUGUCACAUAUGAGAUAUAUAUAUAUAAAUAAUCCUAUUCUCCCCUUUUCCUACACAAAAGGUAGCAACAAUACAUACUUUCUGCACCCUGCUUUUCCCCCCAUAUCCCUGAGACUUCUCUGUAACAGCACACAAAGAGGGUCCUCAUAGUAUGGGAGGAUGUAGCCAAAUGUAUUCACUAAUCUCCUGUUGCUGGACAUGUAGUUGUCCCAGUCUUUUGGGCCCCUAUUUCAAGGGACUGAGGCGACCUAGCCCCCUGGCUCUUCAUCCAACAUCAAGAUCCCACCAGAGGCACAGUUCAUAUCUCUGCCAAAGAGAGUCCAACUAGACUGGCCACUGCAGGAGCCAGGCCACAAGAAGAGCACUGAGCCAUCGGUGCCCAGGGCCAGGGGGCAGCCCAGGUACUUCAGCUUCUUUAACUUCCAAGAAUCACACAGGAGCAAAGGCUAUGAUCUUCUAACAUCCUGCAUAUUCAUUUCAGUUUCUCAGAUCACAAAACUCAGAUCCUAGAGCCCAUGGAGUUUACAGCCUAGGUGGGCUCAGAGAAGAAACAAAUGCCUCCACGUAACGAUGCCUAAGCUUGGCAUUUUUAUUAACGGUUCACCUAGCCAUUCUGCAAAUAUUUAGUGAGCUGCUUCUAGGGGCCAGGUAUUGUUCUUAGGCGUGAGGGGAGGGCGGGAAUCGCUGAAUAAAACUCCCCUUAUCUUGUACAGCUUAUGUGGCACAGGCAAGGUGGGAGGAGAGGUAAUAGACAAUAGAAACAUAACAAGUCAAACAAGUAAGUUAUAUUAUCUGUUAGAGGAUGACUAGCGGUAUGGAAGAAAUAGAGCGAGGAAAUGGAGAUUGGAUGGGAAGGUGCAGGAUGCAAUUUGAAUAGAGUGGUCAGAGUAGGUCUCACUGAGAAGUCAUGGGCAAUAACUCAUGUUCUGGGUGACUCCUUUUUGCAGCUGCCACAGGUCAACUCUCAUUAUCAUUGCCACAAUCAAACUGUCAUUAUCACAAACAUCAAGGUAAUAAUAAAGUAUCUCAGUGUCGCAAUUGUGUUGUUUUAGAAAUUGCCUGAAAUAAGCAGAGUGCUUGCUUAGGGCUGAGAAACCUUUUAUGUGAUCCAGAAAUUUCUGUCGUCGAAAGCUUUGACACAACGGGGGUUUAAGGGGUGUUCUACGUGGUCAUUUCCACCAUUUUUCCUAUUCUAAUCAAAUCUCACAAAAGAAAUUCCACCUGGAAAUUGCCUGAACCUCUAAAGGCACAAUCAAGUCCCUGGCUGGAGAUGACUGAGUGAGGCAGAAAGUCAGGUUACAUUAUGACACGUGUAUUCAGCACUUUAUUCCUACCAAUGCAUGUUCACGAGUCAUCCAUUGAUUCUUAUAACAAAGCCCACACCCUUUAACAAGCCCACACUCCAUAAGAAGCCCCAUAUCCUAUAAUAACCCCCAUACCCUACAAUAAUCCCCAUACCCUAUAAUAAUCCCACCCCCUGGCCCCCCUUUAGCAAAUGUGGGACCUGGGAGACAAAGUGCCUGCCUCUGCUCACACAGUGGCUUCAAGGUGGAGCCCAGACCAGAGCUGGGGUUUCUUACUUCCUAGGUCUGUGCCUCCCACCCCUCCACUUAUCCCACCUCUCCAAACAUAAAGAGAGAGGAGCUGGGUCUCUCUAGCCCUUUCAGACAGACAGCCUGAAUAAAACCUUUGGAGAAAACCAAGCAUUGGUCUCACAUCAAUUCUCACCCGUGAGAUCAUCCUUUCUCAUCACAAAGUCAGUUAGAUCAAAAGUUAGGUUGCAGUUAAGUUGCUCAUUCUCUCACGUAUUCAAUGAACUGUGACUCAGGGCCCCUGCCAGAUGCUGAGGACACCAAGAUGAACAACACUGGCCCUGCCCACAAAGACUUUGCAGGAUCUUCAGGCGAGACCAACAAGAGCUGAGCAUAGGGUAACUGCUACAGUGGGGGCCACAGGGCAUUAUAGGAAAAGGACACCCAACCCUGCCUUCCUGCAUGGAGUCAGGGAAAGCUCCCAAGAAGGGGUGAGAUCUAAGCAGAAUCCACAUAGAUGAAAGGGAAUGUUCGAGUUGAGGAGACAGAACGUAGUAUAGGUAGAGAGAACAGAAGGACAGCCAAGACAGAACAGCAAGCCUGGGGCUGGACAACUAAAUUGGGGCAGGUUCACAAGGGGCUUCGAAGCAGUCUGAAUCUCAACCUACAGGCAACAAGCUCCACAGGGUUUUAAGCAAGCAGAUGAUAAGAUGAAGGCUGCACUGGUGUGGAGAAAAGAAAGAUCUGAGGACAAGCCCAGCUGGAGGCAGGAGGAGAAGCCAGGAGGCCUGAACUAAGGCUGUGGCAGUGGGCAUGGAAGGGGAGGAGGGCUUCCAGAGGAAGGAAGGAGGGAGCGCAAGGUAGAACGGGUCAGAAGGCCUGGCUCUGAGCCUGGGCUCUCUAAUCAUUGGCUAGGGGACUCCGACCUACUAGUAGUUACUUAAUACCUACCUACUCCACAGGGAUGUUGGAGGAUUGACUGGGAUAAGCUAGGAGGUGAGAGAGGACCCUGAGAACUACACAGCCCAGCAGGAACACAGGCUGUCCACUCACCCCCAGCCAGCACUGCUGCAUCUGUGGGCGCCUUACCACCAGCGGACUUCAAGUUACUCUCACAGGCACCUAAGUUUCCUCUGCUCACUUAACUUCUCUAAUAGAUGAGGGGCCUUUGGUGAAUCUGGUCAUCCUUCUCGACCUGGCUUUCUUUUCCAUAAAAUAAGAGAAUUUAAUUAGAUGAAGUCUAGGGUCCCUUCCAGCUGGAAGUUCUAAAGUUUUGUUGUCUUAUUCAUCUUGUGACCCAACUUCCCUGGUAAUAAUUAUUUGUCAAAUGAAAAAUUAUUGAAGGAAGAUUCAUCAGUAGAAGAAAAACAAAAAACUAAGGUAAUGAAUGACUGGCUCUGAAAACUAAGAUAAAAAAUGGCUUGAAGGGUCAUGCUCCAUUCAAAGAUACAGUAAUAAAAGUUGAAAGGCGUUUUCACACCAAAAAUUAUUCUUCUAUACAACAUCUGUGCUCCCAAAAGUUUAAAUUGUCAAUAGCCUAGAUAUUUACCCAAGAAAACUAGACGAUAUGUCCACAUAAAAACUAGCAAAGGAAUGUUCAUACCAGCUUUAUUUGUAAUAGCCAAAAACUGGAAACAACCUAUAUGUCCAUCAAGAGGUAAAUGGAACAGCAAUUUGUGAUAUAUCCAUCAGAGAGAAUACCACUCAGCAAUAAAGAGGACCUAACUUUAGAUACAUGCAAAAGAAACGGAUGAACCUUAAAAUCAUUAUGCCAAAGGAAGCAUCAAAGAAUGGGAGAAAAUAUUAGCAAAUCAUCUAUCUGAUAAGGGACUGGUAUCCAGAAUUUAUAAAGAACUCUUACAAUUUCACACAAAAGAUAAACAACUCAAUUAAAAGAGGGACAAAGGAGUUAAAUAGACAUUUCUCUAAAGAAGAUAUACAAAUGGCCAACAAGCAUAUGAAAAGAUGCUCAACAUCAUUAGUCGUUAGAGAAAUACAAGUCAAAACCACAAUGAGAUACCACUUUAUACCCAGUAGGAUGGCCAUAAUUUCAAAAAAAAGGAAAAUAACAAGUGUUGACAAAGUUGUGGAGAAAUUGGAGCCCUCAUUUAUUGCUGGUGAGAAUGUAAAAUGGUGCGGCCACUUUGGAACUUCCUCCAUAACUACACAUAGACUUAACGUAUGACUCAGCAAUUCCACUCCAAGAUACAGACUCAAAAGAGCUGAAAACAGAUGUUCAAGCAAAAACCUGUACACAAGUCUUCAUCGCAGCACUAUUCACAAUAGUCAAAAGGUGGAAACAACCCAAUCUAUCAACUGAUGAAUGGAUAAACAAAAUGUGGUCUAUCCAUGUGAUGGAAUAUUCUUCAACAAUAAAAAGGAAUGAAGUACUGAUUCAUGCUACCACAUGGACGAACCUUGAAAACAUUAUGCUAAGUGAGAGAAAGCCUGAUACAAAAGGCCACAUAGAAUAUGAUUCCACUUAUAUGAAAUGUCCAGAAUAGGCAAAUCCAUAGAUACAGAUUCUGCCAUAGAGACAGAAAGCAGAGUACUGGCUGCCAGGGGCCUGGGGGGAGGAGGGAACCUGGAAUAACUGCUUAAUGGAGGCAGGGUUUCUUUUUGAGGUAAUGCGAAUGUUCUGGACCUAGAUAGUGGUAAUGGUUACACAGCAUAGUGAAAGUUCUUAAUACUACUGAAUUUCAAAUAGUUAAAAUAGUUAAAAAAUGUGGAUUUUAUCACAAUUUUCUAAAAUAUUAUUUCCAAAAACAUCAUUAUGCUGAGUGAAAGAAGCCAGGCAAGAAAAAGAGUACAUACUGUGAUACACUUUGUAUAAAAUUCUAGAAAAUGCAAACUCAUUUAUAGUGAUAGAGAGCAGAUGAGUAGUUGCCUGAGAGGAAGAGAGCUAAGGGAAAGAGAGAAGGAUAAAUUAUACAAGUCAGGAAGAAAUUUUGGGAGGUGAUAAAAAUGUUUAUUAUCUUGAUUUUUGAUGGAUGCUUUAAUGUGCGCAGCUUAGUAUACUUCAAUUAUACCUCUGUAAAAUUGAAAAAAGAAAAAGAAAAGUUUGAAAAAUUAUCAUUGGACCUUUAAAUUCUUAGACAGUAAAUUUCUAUUUGAAAUACACUGAGGAACUCACUGUUUAAAGGAUCUUUACUGUAAACCCUUUUGAAGGUCAAAUGCAAAUAAUCCUUUCCUGAUUCACUGAUUCUAUUCAGUCUGGUUUUGACAGACAACGGUUUCUUUGAGCAAAAGAUCAUCUGUAACGAUGUCUGCUAAGACUGUUCAAGAAGUGUGUCUGGUGGAGACGAAGCGAGUUUGAUGUGGCCGUGGUUCAAAUCAGGAUUUCUUUUUGCUAUUAAUAGGAGCCUAAGACACUUUUCACCGUUGCUGAAUCCUUGUUUUCUGAAUUAGUUCAAAAAUGGUCUGGUAGAACUUGGCAGACACUACUUUGCAAAUCAAACUAUCAUAUCUGUUAUUAUUUUAGCACAUGCUGAGAGGAUUACAAGUGUUUAUAUACUCUGUGAGCAUCAAAUUCAGGUCUUGCCUAACAUGCAUAACAUGCAGAAUAAGACAGUGAAUCAAAUGCCAGAGUCAGAUUUGCUGGUGGAAUGUAAAUUGGGAUAUGGAUUUCACAGCAAACCAAAAGGCAGACUCAAAGCUACAAGAAACUGAAAAAAAGAAACAGAAAAAAAAAUGUUCUUAGUUGGAUUGCUUAGUUUCUCUCAAAUUAAAUUGGACUUACGUUCAAAUUUAUUUCAGCAAUUUUUUCCAUAGUAUUUUCUUUUUAAGUGGUGGGUUUUCUGUAAAUUAUUUUGAGGGUGGAUAUUUACAUAGACAUGAUAUGAUCAAAUGAAUUUACACAACAUUCUCCCAUCCCCACCCCAGCCCACCAGUUCUUUCAUAAAUAAUAUUUUUUUUAGCUUUGCUGAGUCCUUGUAAAUUUGUGACUUGAUUUCCUCAUCUGUAAAAUGGGGGGGGGGGGGGGGAAUAACAGCAUUACCUCACAGGACUAUUGUUGGAUUAAAUGAUUAAAUGCAUUAAACACACAUAAAGUGCUUAGAAUAGUAGCUGGCACUCAAGAAGCACUCAAUAAGUGUUAGUUGUUAUCCUUGUUGCCUUUAUUAUUUAAUUACACUUAAUAACAAUUACUUCAUUACUGUUGUUCCCUUUUACAG
rnacentral:lncRNA from 1 species